ensembl:lncRNA
UCACAGAGAUGCACACAAGGAGAACGCUGUGUUCAGAUAAAGACCAAGAUCUGCCAAGACUUCUUCAAAGCAAGGAUGUCACGAAACAUUGUCAGCAACCACCAGAAGCUAGGAGGCAGGACAAAGAUCUUCCCUUACCACCCUCAGGAGGAACUAGCCCUGCCAAUGCCCCACUUCAGGCUUCUGGCUUCCAGACUGUGAGACAACAAAUUUCCAUUUUUUAAGCCUUCGCAGGCUGUGAUAUUUGUUAUAGCAUCUCUGGAAACCUGAUUCAAUUCAGGACAAGUCUGAGGAAACACCACAGCUUUUUAUGCUCCUGUGGAGUCAGGGUUAGAGUCCCUAUCUGGAGCCGCUGAGAAGUUGAUGAAUGAAAGCCAUGUGAGUGAGGAUGAAGCUUUGAUGGAGACCCCUGAAGUUGAAGAGGCUAGGAAUGUGGAGUGUCUGCCAAGGAGCAGUGUGGGUAUUUUGUUCUCCAACACAAAGCAGUGGCCUGAAUGAAGUCUGCCUCUGAAUCUGAAUGCUGGGUUACCAGGAACAUCAGUGUCUGAGCACAGAAACGGCAUCAUCUAGACGUACUUUUCACCAGCUUUUUUCCCCUCAAG